rnacentral:rRNA from 1 species
GUCGAACGCCCCGCAAGGGGAGUGGCAGACGGGUGAGUAACGCGUGGGAACGUGCCCUUCGCUUCGGAAUAGUCCCGGGAAACUGGGUUUAAUACCGAAUACGCCGUAUUGGGAAAGAUUUAUCGGCGAAGGAUCGGCCCGCGUUAGAUUAGCUAGUUGGCGGUGUAAUGGACCACCAAGGCUACGAUCUAUAGCUGGUCUGAGAGGAUGAUCAGCCACACUGGGACUGAGACACGGCCCAGACUCCUACGGGAGGCAGCAGUGGGGAAUCUUGGACAAUGGGCGCGAGCCUGAUCCAGCCAUGCCGCGUGAGUGAAGAAGGCCUUAGGGUUGUAAAACUCUUUCGCCGGUGAAGAUAAUGACGGUAACCGGAGAAGAAGCCCCGGCUAACUUCGUGCCAGCAGCCGCGGUAAUACGAAGGGGGCUAGCGUUGUUCGGAAUUACUGGGCGUAAAGCGCACGUAGGCGGGUUUGUAAGUAGGGGGUGAAAUCCCAGGGCUCAACCCUGGAACUGCCUCCUAAACUGCAAGCCUGGAGGUCAGGAGAGGCGAGUGGAAUACCGAGUGUAGAGGUGAAAUUCGUAGAUAUUCGGUGGAACACCAGUGGCGAAGGCGACUCGCUGGACUGAUACUGACGCUGAGGUGCGAAAGCGUGGGGAGCAAGCAGGAUUAGAUACCCUGGUAGUCCACGCCUUAAACGAUGAGAGCUAGUUGUCAGUAAGCAUGCUUAUUGGUGACGC